rnacentral:lncRNA from 1 species
AUUUUUAGAGAUGGGGUCUCACUGUGUUGCCCAGGCUGGUCUCAAACUCCUGGCAUCAAGCGAUCCUCCCAUCUUAGCCUCCCAAAGUGCUGGGAUUACAGGCAUGAGCCACUGGACCUGACCCUCUCUCAUGUGCUUCUAAAAACAAGCUCAGGAAGAGAAGUGGUUUCACCACAUUGCCCAGGCUGGUCUCAAAUUCCUGAGUUCAAGUGAUCUGCACACCUCAGCCCUGCAAAGUGCUGGGAAUACAGGCGUAAGCCACUGUGCCCAACUGAAACAUGUUUAAUAUAAUUAUUUGAUAAACUUGGUUGUAAUGUUAUUUUUAUUGUAUUCACUGUGUUAUUUUCACUGUGUUCACUGUGUUAUUUUCAAUAAAUUCCUCUUCUUAAUGCUUUCAACAUA